rnacentral:rRNA from 1 species
UACGGGGGGGGCAAGCGUUGUUCGGAAUUACUGGGCGUAAAGGGCGUGUAGGCGGCCAACUAAGUCCGACGUGAAAUCCCCAGGCUUAACCUGGGAACUGCGUCGGAUACUGGAUGGCUUGAAUCCGGGAGAGGGAUGCAGAAUUCCAGGUGUAGCAGUGAAAUGCGUAGAUAUCUGGAGGAAUACCGGUGGCGAAGGCGGCAUCCUGGACCGGCAUUGACGCUGAAGCGCGAAAGCUAGGGGAGCAAACGGG